ACCUUCUUAUUUAGCUCUGUGCUAACAUUGCAGAAACUCUAUCAUGUCUUAGUAUUUGUAAUAAAGCUAGCAGAGUAAAACACAAGAAGAGAAACAACACUACCACAUAGUAGAAAAACUGAGAUGAACCUCUUUCUUAAGUGCAGGCUACUUUGUUCUAAGAUUUGGUACAAUAAUA